CCUACGGGUGGCUGCAGUGGGGAAUAUUGGACAAUGGGCGAAAGCCUGAUCCAGCCAUGCCGCGUGUGUGAAGAAGGCCUUCGGGUUGUAAAGCACUUUCAGUGGGGAAGAAAGCCUUGGGGCUAAUACCCUCGAGGAAGGACAUCACCCACAGAAGAAGCACCGGCUAACUCCGUGCCAGCAGCCGCGGUAAUACGGAGGGUGCGAGCGUUAAUCGGAAUUACUGGGCGUAAAGCGCGCGUAGGCGGUCUGAUAAGCCGGUUGUGAAAGCCCCGGGCUCAACCUGGGAACGGCAUCCGGAACUGUCAGGCUAGAGUGCAGGAGAGGAAGGUAGAAUUCCCGGUGUAGCGGUGAAAUGCGUAGAGAUCGGUAGGAAUACCAGUGGCGAAGGCGGCCUUCUGGACUGACACUGACGCUGAGGUGCGAAAGCGUGGGUAGCAAACAGGAUUAGAUACCCCUGUAGUC
rnacentral:rRNA from 1 species